rnacentral:tRNA from 1 species
UCCCUGGUGGUCCAGUGGUUAGGACUCAGCGCUUUCACCGCCGUGGGUCAGGUUCCAUUCCUGGCCAGGGAU